UUUCCGUAGGUGAACCUGCGGAAGGAUCAUUAUUGUAUAACCGAGGUGCGAGGGCUGUCGCUGACCCGAAAGGUCGUGCACGGCCGAGUGCCUUCACACACAUCCAUCUCACCCCUAUGUGCACCACCGCGUGGGUCCCCCUUUGGCUUGUUCGGAGGGGGGCUUACGUUUUCACACAAACUUUGUAUGCAGUGUAGAAUGUAUUUUUUGUUUUUGCGGUCACGCAAUCAAUACAACUUUCAACAACGGAUCUCUUGGCUCUC
rnacentral:misc_RNA from 1 species